rnacentral:misc_RNA from 1 species
GUGAAUCAUCGAAUCUUUGAACGCAAAUUGCACUCUCCUCGGAGAGUAUGCCUGUUUGAGGGCCAGCCUAUAAGAAAUCGACAUCGUUGCUGUUUCGCGGUGACGUUCGUCGGAAAUUGGGUCAUCUUAAAUCCUUUUGGUUUUAAGCGACUUAAAAAUUUCUUUUGGUUUCAUUAACGGUUUUUAGAUUUUAUUUUUUUCAAGUUUAAGGGUUC